rnacentral:rRNA from 1 species
GACGAACGCUGGCGGCGUGCCUAAUACAUGCAAGUCGAGCGAAGUUUUUCUGGUGCUUGCACUAGAAAAACUUAGCGGCGAACGGGUGAGUAACACGUAAAGAACCUGCCUCAUAGACUGGGACAACUAUUGGAAACGAUAGCUAAUACCGGAUAACAGCAUUAACUGCAUGGUUGAUGUUUGAAAGUUGGUUAUGCUAACACUAUGAGAUGGCUUUGCGGUGCAUUAGCUAGUUGGUGGGGUAAAGGCCCACCAAGGCGACGAUGCAUAGCCGACCUGAGAGGGUGAUCGGCCACACUGGGACUGAGACACGGCCCAGACUCCUACGGGAGGCAGCAGUAGGGAAUCUUCCGCAAUGGGCGAAAGCCUGACGGAGCAACGCCGCGUGAGUGAAGAAGGAUUUCGGUUCGUAAAGCUCUGUUUGUUAGGGGAAGAAAUGGAUAUGUAGUAAACUAUACAUAUAAAGAGGACGGUACCC